AAGGACUUCGUGCAUUCUUUUUA
rnacentral:piRNA from 1 species